GACCGCUCCGGUGGCCUAGUGGUUAGAGCGUCUGCCUCGGAUGUGGGAGGUCGUGGGUUCCAUACCCGGUCGAGUCA